rnacentral:misc_RNA from 1 species
UCUCAGAAAGGCAUUAGUGGCUGCCCUGGAGGGCCGAGCUGCCAACCUCAUCAUCCUUAGUGCAGUUCCUCGAUGGCUCAAGUAAACAUCAUGCUCUUCCCACUCAGGCUCGACAGGUAAAGAUCUCAAGUGCCCCAGAAUUAGUUUCAUGUUUGCAGCAGCAGCCUCGGAGAGCUUAUGUCCACAAGCUGUACGCACAUACUUCAAUUGUUUGUGAUUAUCUUUGAGAGCAUUCUCCAGAGUAGAGCUUAGAUCAGCUAUGUCUGCAGCAAGGUCUGAGGUCUGUCCUAACAAAGCAAUCUCGUUUUCCCCUUUGUCACAUCGAAAAUCUUUGCAAUUAGAUAAAUAUUUUGCUUCUCCAUUCUCCUCAGAGUUGUCGGUAGAAAUCAUCUCUUCUAACAAAAUUGUGGCCUUAUCAAUAUCACUAUUCACAUUGGCCAUGACAUCCUCGAUCAAACUUUUGUCAGCCCAGCUGUAAAGUUCUUUGAGAUGUUUGAACGUAAGAUCAGGAUUCUUCUCCUCAAGAACCUCAACUAAACCAGAAUCACUAACUG